rnacentral:misc_RNA from 1 species
AACGCACAUUGCGCCCCCUGGUAUUCCGGGGGGCAUGCCUGUCCGAGCGUCAUUGCUGCCCUCAAGCACGGCUUGUGUGUUGGGCCGCCGUCCCCCACCCGGGGGACGGGCCCGAAAGGCAGCGGCGGCACCGCGUCCGGUCCUCGAGCGUAUGGGGCUUCGUCACCCGCUCUGUAGGCCCGGCCGGCGCCUGCCGACGACCAAUCAAUCUUUUUUCCAGGUUGACCUCGGAUCAGGUAGGGAUACCCGCUGAACUUAA